UCCGUGUUGAGAUUAGCUUACAAGGGCCA
rnacentral:sRNA from 1 species